UGGAAGUCCGGUGGGUAACUGCCUGACUGGCUAUGGUGUCAGCCACGAAACGUCAAUCCCUCAAGUAGCGCCAGUUACGGAUUGUGGCAUUUUUUUCUUCUCUUCUUUCCCUCGCUGAUCAAAGAACAGUCUAGCAGUCAAGUCCAGCUCCUGCACCGAUUUGCCGAUUUACUCUCCCAACACUUCAGCGCCAAGAUGUGAAGCAUAUUCAAAACGCUGUCGGCUAGCCGUAACUGAUGCCCUCUUCUAUGGAGCUUCCCCUGCCCACCAAUAUUCGCCCGGUGUCUCGAUCCUCCUUCUGCCCCUCUUUCACGCUUGCAUUCAAUGGCUACUUGUCUUAUCGCACGCUGUUUCGCAGAAGAUGGAACUGUGUUUCGAAGCCUCUUCGGAUAUCUUUGAACUUAAAGAAAGAUUCUUCGGUUAACGAGUAUCAAAACACAAAUAGCGACGCGGAAAACGUGGAUUUCUGGCUUGAUUCUGGGUCUGUCGAAGUGAUUGGGAUUGGGAGUAGGAAGGAUGCCGUGCUUGAUUUCUGUCUCGGGUCGCCAUUUCAGUCGACUUCUUUGAGAUUCUGGAAUGUUCUGAAGAAAGAUUCACUGAAGGUGCAUUUACAACAAAGGUUACUUGGAAAAGAUAUCACUCCAAGAAUUGUGGAAGCUCCUCUAUCCUUGCAGUCAUGUUCUAAGGCUAUUAUCCUUGUGGCUAGUGCUGCAUAUGGUUUGGAUCACAUUGCGACAAUGGAUAUUCUUAGAACUAUUAGAACUGCAGAUGGUUUAACUGUUGCUCUUAUUCUGAAACCUUUCAGUUUUGAAGGACAAAGACGUCAAAAUGAGGUUAGGUAUUUGGUAAGCAAACUUCAAGAGCAUACAAACUUCUGUAUAGUGAUUGACAUGGACACCCUACUCCGUAAGGAUUUGGUAACUUUGGAUGAGGCACUGAAGACUGCAAAUAAUGCUGUUUUGUUAACUAUAAAUGCCAUAUCUGUUCUAAUAUCUGAGAAGCACAAAAGAUGCAUUGAUGUACCACAUAAUAACAUGAACUCACUCACAGUUUCUGAAGUUAUUGAAAUUAUGGAACGCUAUAAAUCAGUAAAAGUUGGAUUUGGUGCUGGUUACAACAAUAGAACUUCCAUUGCACAGGCUAUAUAUGAUUGCCCUUUCCUUGGUGUUAGUAUGAAGGAUUUGAAAGGCAUGGUCAUAUGUGUCCUUGCAAGUUCAGGAGUCAUCAACAGCAGCGAUGUCAAUGCCUUUUUGCAAACUUUCCGUCAAACAACUGAUUGCACAAGUGAAAUUGUAAUAUCUACAACUCAAGAAUCUAAUCUGAAAACAAACCUGAUCAUAACAACAGUAUUUAUUUUAAGUUGUACUGAACAAGAGACUUCUCAGAACAGCAUAUUUGCUACACUAGCAGACCGUUAUCCCUUUGUUCUUGAUAUUUUGAGGAGAAAUGAUCGAGGAUCUAAUAAAAUUCUGGAAAAUGUUUCUCAUGAAAACCCUUGUCUUUCUAAGAAAAUAAAUUCACCUGAGUCCAGUGAAAUACCAAAUAAAACUUCUGUGGAUGGUAGACCAGAAGAUUUUGAUAUGUGCUCUAAAGAACUUGAAGAAAUCCAUACUCUACUAAGCAGCAAUUCUGAUGAGAUCCAUUCUUUCAGUGAUGAAUUAGAAAAAAGUGGGAUUCAACUUUCAGAGGGCAGAAAUGAGCCUUCCAACAUUUAUGAUCAAGAUAUUGAAGGUGCACCUUCUUUCCAAAGGGAAACACUCAUUGGUUGGAAUGUGGGGCCAGGACAUCAGAUAGCAAAGGAAUGGGCUAAAGAAAGGACAGCUAACCCUAAAACUACACCAGUGGUUAACAACCUGAGCAAUUUCCUCCUUCCAGUUGGUGUAAGGCCUUUGGAAAAGCUAAAGGAUGGUUCAAGUACCUCAAAUCCUGGAGAACAGCCGAAGCAAACAAGUGAAGAUGAUACAAAAGCAAAGUUUCUUGUUACUCCAAGUAUGUCUUCUUGGAAUACAUUGACCAGUGCUGGUUUUGAAGCAGUGAUGGAUUUUUAUUUUUCAACAUCUGCUUCACUAAAGAAAAAAUAUACUGAUGUUUCGAAGAAGCAGAGAUCACUUUAUGUUCGUGCAGCAUCUAUGUUGGAAACUGAACGAGAUUCACAAAAAAAGUGGUGUCCCAUUGUGGAGAUGGAAUAUCAAGGAGGAGUAUAUAGGGGGCAUUGCCAAGGUGGCCUUCCAGAGGGAAAGGGUCGUCUAUCGGUUGUUGAUGGAAGCAUUUAUGAUGGCAUGUGGCACUAUGGCAAGAGAUCAGGCCUGGGUACAUUCUACUACUGUAAUGGGGAUGUGUUCCAGGGAUCAUGGAGGGAUGAUGUUAUCCAUGGGAAGGGUUGGUUUUACUUUCACACUGGAGAUAGAUGGUUCUCAAACUUUUGGAAGGGAAAAGCCAAUGGUGAAGGACGCUUUUAUUCUAAAUCUGGUGACAUCUUUUUUGGCCAUUUCCAAGAUGGAUGGCGACAUGGCCACUUUCUUUGCAUCAAUUUUGAUGGAGUAAGGUUUGUUGAGAUUUGGAACAGAGGAGUCCUCGUAAGCCGGGACCAGUUAGACCCAAACUCUAGUGUUGGCAGCUGUGGCCAUGGAUAAACUAUCACGUACGCAUUUUUGUUCAUUCUUGUUUCUGUGACUAAUUAUUUGUUAUUGUAUCAGCACGUGUUUCUUUCAGUAUUAUUGGAGAAGUUUAGAGCGUCAUAUUUCAAAUUAAAACUCCAGUGAUAAAACAAAGGAGUCCCUAAUAGGAGAGCGGGUAAAGCUCCGCUAAUUUAGUACUGUUGAACUGCCCUCUCCGAAGGGUAAGUUUUGGUAGGGACAGUUGGAUUUUGUGGAAAUGUUCCUAGAUCAUUCUUUUGGGAUGUAUAUACUUAAAUACGGUGGAUGUAGUGACUCUGGUAUUGUGAUGGAUAGUUGUAUUUAUGAUAUUAUGAUUGUAUGUUUCUUGCUGCUUAGGCUUUUGUUAUGUGUUUCUAAUGUAUCUCUGGUACCCAUGGGUCCAGGUGGAUUA